AACCCGUGAUGUGGACAGAUAUUUAUCAGAUCCUUGAACCUCUCCCAACAAGCUUGGAAGGUCUCGCCACCCUUCUGUAUAAAUUGAAUGAUCUUUUCAUGCAAAAAU